CUCCUCUUGGAUAUCGUGUGCUACACGCUUCCGGCUGACAGUGCGCUUUUUAGGCCUGCGCGCGCGACUCGCGCAAUGGACGUCGCAAUCCCCUCCCUCCCUCCCUUCCUCCUUCUCGCCUUUCUUCCAGCGUGAUUCUCGAUGAACCACAAAUCUCCCCGACAAACGAAGAGGGUGGAGUCUGUCGCGGACGUUUCAUACGAGAUCGCGAGGCGUUCAUGAUACAACGACGACAAUGAUGAUGAUGAUGACGACAACGACAGCGACGACGACGACGACGACGACGACAAGCGAGACGCAUAUCUGGGUGUAUCAGACUCCAUGCACCAAAGGACGGGCGCCAUGUCGUCGUUUUCCUCCUCGAGCAACCGACCUAUCGAUCUUCUUCAGUGGCGUAAUGUGUGCGCACAACUAUUUGUAAUUUCGGCAAGGUCCACAUCCCAAGUCGGAUGCUCAGCGAAUAGAAGAAGAAAAAGGAAUGCAAGAAAUUGUUAUUGAAAAAAAAAAA